rnacentral:rRNA from 1 species
GUCCACGCCGUAAACGAUGAGUGCUAGGUGUCGCGGGUAUUGACCCCUGCGGUGCCACAGCUAACGCACUAAGCACUCCGCCUGGGGAGUACGGCCGCAAGGCUAAAACUCAAAGGAAUUGACGGGGGCCCCGCACAAGCGGUGGAGCAUGUGGUUCAAUUCGACGCAACGCGAAGAACCUUACCUGGGUUAAAUCCACCGGAAUCCUUUGGAGACAAGGGAGUGCUCGCAAGAGAGCCGGUGAGAAGGUGCUGCAUGGCUGUCGU